UGGCUCAGGAGUGAACGCUGUGCGGCGUGCCUACACAUGCAAGUCGAGCGAAGCGAUUUUCGAGGAAGUUUUCGGAUGGAAUUGGAAUUGACUGAGCGGCGGACGGGUGAGUAACGCGUGGGUAACCUGCCUCAUACAGGGGGAUAACAGUUAGAAAUGACUGCUAAUACCGCAUAAGCGCACAGGACCGCAUGGUCUGGUGUGAAAAACUCCGGUGGUAUGAGAUGGACCCGCGUCUGAUUAGCUGGUUGGUGGGGUAACGGCCUACCAAGGCGACGAUCAGUAGCCGACCUGAGAGGGUGACCGGCCACAUUGGGACUGAGACACGGCCCAAACUCCUACGGGAGGCAGCAGUGGGGAAUAUUGCACAAUGGGGGAAACCCUGAUGCAGCGACGCCGCGUGAGCGAAGAAGUAUUUCGGUAUGUAAAGCUCUAUCAGCAGGGAAGAAAAUGACGGUACCUGACUAAGAAGCCCCGGCUAACUACGUGCC
rnacentral:rRNA from 1 species